rnacentral:lncRNA from 1 species
AGUUUUAGAAAGACGCAGGUUGAAUUGAUCUGAUGGCAGCUAUGAUGGGUUUUUACAGCAGCACAGAGUUUCAACUUCCCUCAGAUCCGUUCAGGGGUGAACUAAUGGAAGUUCUUGAACCUUUUAUGAAAAGUCCUUCCUCAACCCCCUCUUUCUCUUCCUCACCUUCAAACUCCUCUUUCCCUUCUACUUCUUACUCUCCUUCUCCCGUCUACUUCCCCUCCUCACCCUCCUUGCCUAAUAUUUAUGCAAACAACUGCUCCGCGUCGAUGACCCAUGUGUAUUCCGACGGCUUAUCCCUAUCCAACACUCAAAAUAUCAUAGGCUUCGCUCAAGGCCAACCAACAUCUCUUCUCGGCCUCAACCACCUAACCCCCUCUCAGAUCUCUCAGAUCCAGGCUCAAAUCCAGAUUCAGAGCCAGCAUCAGCACAAUCUCAACACCCUGAACUUCCUCGGGCCCAAGCCCAUCCCUAUGAAGCACGCGGGCAUGCCUCUGAAGCCCACGAAGCUGUACCG